rnacentral:rRNA from 1 species
GACGAACGCUGGCGGCGUGCUUAACACAUGCAAGUCGAACGGAAAGGCCCUGCUUUUGUGGGGUGCUCGAGUGGCGAACGGGUGAGUAACACGUGAGUAACCUGCCCUUGACUUUGGGAUAACUUCAGGAAACUGGGGCUAAUACCGGAUAGGAGCUCCUGCUGCAUGGUGGGGGUUGGAAAGUUUCGGCGGUUGGGGAUGGACUCGCGGCUUAUCAGCUUGUUGGUGGGGUAGUGGCUUACCAAGGCUUUGACGGGUAGCCGGCCUGAGAGGGUGACCGGACCCGGGGAGGGGAGGGGGACGGCGGAGGCGCGGGGGGGAGGGAGGGUGGGGGAAGGAGAGAGGGGGGGGGGGAGGCGGAGGAAGGGGCGGCGGGGGGGGGAGGGCGGGCGGGGGGGAGACCACCGCUGGCGGCUGGGACGAGGGUGGAGGAAGGGAAAGGGGUAAAGAAGCACCGACUAACGACGUGACAGCAGCAGCGGGAAGAUCGGGAAGAGCCCACGUCCGAAC